rnacentral:rRNA from 1 species
GACAGAGGGUGCAAGCGUUGUUCGGAAUUAUUGGGCGUAAAGGGCGCGUAGGCGGCCGCGUAAGUCAGGUGUGAAAUCCCGGGGCCCAACCCCGGAAGUGCGCCUGAUACUGCGUGGCUUGAAUCCCGGAGAGGGUGGUGGAAUUCCCAGUGUAGAGGUGAAAUUCGUAGAUAUUGGGAGGAAUACCGGUGGCGAAGGCGACCACCUGGACGGUGAUUGACGCUGAGGCGCGAAAGCGUGGGGAGCAAACAGG